rnacentral:rRNA from 1 species
GAUGAACGCUGGCGGCGUGCUUAACACAUGCAAGUCGAACGGAAAGGCCCAAGCUUGCUUGGGUACUCGAGUGGCGAACGGGUGAGUAACACGUGGGUGAUCUGCCCUGCACUUCGGGAUAAGCCUGGGAAACUGGGUCUAAUACCGGAUAGGACCACUUCUUGGAUGUUGUGGUGGAAAGUUUUUUCGGUGUGGGAUGAGCUCGCGGCCUAUCAGCUUGUUGGUGGGGUAAUGGCCUACCAAGGCGUCGACGGGUAGCCGGCCUGAGAGGGUGUACGGCCACAUUGGGACUGAGAGACGGCCCAGACUCCUACGGGAGGCAGCAGUGGGGAAUAUUGCACAAUGGGCGCAAGCCUGAUGCAGCGACGCCGCGUGGGGGAUGACGGACUUCGGGUUGGAAACUCCUUUCGCUAGGGACGAAGCGUUUUGUGACGGUACCUGGAGAAGAAGCACCGGCUAACUACGUG